rnacentral:pre_miRNA from 1 species
AGAGGAAUAGCUGGGUCAAAUGGUGGUUCCAUUCCCAUAUUUCCAAGGAAUCUCCAUACUGCUUUCCAAAUUGGCUGCAUCAAUUUGCAGUCCACCAGCAAU